CGAAAAGCAGGGGCCUGUUUUCUUUAUCAUGAACCGGUCUCUCGUAAACCUCAGGGAUAUUGGAGUGAUCCAUUGUUCUUGGGUGAACCACAGCACUAUUCCCUGUGGCUAUUUGUGGUUCAGUAAAUGAUGGAACAAUU
rfam:Gossypium arboreum cultivar AKA8401 contig_2431_5, whole genome shotgun sequence.